rnacentral:tRNA from 14 species
CAGUUGGUUAGCGCGUCAGUCUCAUAAUCUACUUCUAACCAACUAGUAGAUCACUGCUGACGUAUGGUAACUAAGGUCGAGGGUUCGAACCCCUCCGGG